UACGGAGGGGGCUAGCGUUGUUCGGAAUUACUGGGGGUAAAGGGAACGUAGGCGGCUUUGUAAGCCGGUGGUGAAAGCCCCGGGCUCAACCUGGGAAUGGCAUUUGGGACUGCAAGGCUUGAGUGCGGCAGAGGAGACUGGAAUUCCUGGUGUAGCAGUGAAAUGCGUAGAUAUCAGGAGGAAUACCGAUGGCGAAGGCAGGUCUCUGGGCUGACACUGACGCUCAUGCACGAAAGCGUGGGGAGCAAACAGG
rnacentral:rRNA from 1 species